rnacentral:rRNA from 1 species
GAUGAACGCUGGCGGCGUGCCUAAUACAUGCAAGUCGAGCGAACAGACGAGGAGCUUGCUCCUCUGACGUUAGCGGCGGACGGGUGAGUAACACGUGGAUAACCUAUCUAUAAGACUGGGAUAACUUCGGGAAACCGGAGCUAAUACCGGAUAAUAUAUUGAACCGCAUGGUUCAAUAGUGAAAGACGGUUUUGCUGUCACUUAUAGAUGGAUCCGCGCCGCAUUAGCUAGUUGGUAAGGUAACGGCUUACCAAGGCAACGAUGCGUAGCCGACCUGAGAGGGUGAUCGGCCACACUGGAACUGAGACACGGCCCAGACUCCUACGGGAGGCAGCAGUAGGGAAUCUUCCGCAAUGGGCGAAAGCCUGACGGAGCAACGCCGCGUGAGUGAUGAAGGUCUUCGGAUCGUAAAACUCUGUUAUUAGGGAAGAACAAAUGUGUAAGUAACUAUGCACGUCUUGACGGUACCUAAUCAGAAAGCCACGGCUAACUACGUG